AUGCAAAACCUAUACAAAGUGCGCAGGCUCAACCGAACUGCAUGCACCGGACAGGUAUCCAUGAACCGGCAGCUGCAUCCGACCACUUCCCCUCCUGGAUUGGGUCGAAGGGAGCUCAUCUUUUUCGCCAUUCCACUUCCAUCUGCUUGCCCUUCGUCGACUUCACCACCCCCAUGCACAUUACAUUCUCACACUAAAACAUCUCAACCCAAAGUAUAUGUAUGUAUAUACGAAACUAAGCCAACUAGGAGUAGAUAUGCGUCGAUCCUUGGUUGCUAUGGAUCUCUGGGGUCGGGUGAGUUGGGUGCAAGGAUGGCUUUGGUUUUGUAG
rnacentral:rRNA from 1 species